rnacentral:rRNA from 1 species
AUGUCUGUGUGAUGGUGUAAUAUUCGGUCUGGCCUGCCCACUGAGUUUUAAAGGGCUGCGGUAAUUUGACCGUGCAAAGGUAVCAUAAUCAAUAGUCUUUUAAUUGGGGGCUUGUAUGAAAGGUUUGACGGAGGAGGAGCUGUCUCUUAUGUGUUUAUGCUGAAUUUAACGUUUGUGUGAAAAGGCAUUAAUGUUUUAGAGGGACGAUAAGACCCUAUAAAACUUUACAUGUUUAUAUUGUUUAAUUAAGUUGUUGAGUGAACUGUUAAGUGGUUAGUUGUGUYUUGCUGGGGCGGCAGGAAUAUAAUGGUUAACUGUUUUGAAUAUGAAAUAUUUAUUAAUAGAAAGUGGUCCUUUGUUUGAGAGGUAAGAGUGAGUUACUUUAGGGAUAACAGCAUAAUUUCUUUUGAGAGUUCUUAUCGAAGAUGAUAGUUGUGACCUCGAUGUUGAAUUAAGUUUUCCUUUAGGUGUAGGAGUUUGAGGAGGASAAGCCUGUUCCGCCUAUAAAUAUUU